UAGUGGCGAACGGGUGAGUAACACGUGAGCAACCUGCCCCUAACUCUGGGAUAACGCUUCGAAAGGAGUGCUAAUACCGGAUACCAGCAUGGAGGACAUCCUCUGUGCUUGAAAGUUUUUCGGUUAGGGAUGGGCUCGCGGCCUAUCAGCUUGUUGGUGAGGUAAAAGCUCACCAAGGCGACGACGGGUAUCCGGCCUGAGAGGGCGACCGGACACACUGGGACUGAGACACGGCCCAGACUCCUACGGGAGGCAGCAGUGGGGAAUAUUGCGCAAUGGGCGAAAGCCUGACGCAGCGACGCCGCGUGAGGGAUGAAGGUCUUCGGAUUGUAAACCUCUUUCAGCAGGGACGAAGCGAAAGUGACGGUACCUGCAGAAGAAGCACCGGCUAA
rnacentral:rRNA from 1 species